GACGAACGCUGGCGGCGUGCUUAACACAUGCAAGUCGAACGGAAAGGCCCUGCUUUUGUGGGGUGCUCGAGUGGCGAACGGGUGAGUAACACGUGAGUAACCUGCCCUUGACUUUGGGAUAACUUCAGGAAACUGGGGCUAAUACCGGAUAGGAGCUCCUGCUGCAUGGUGGGGGUUGGAAAGUUUCGGCGGUUGGGUAUGGACUCGCGGCUUAUCAGCUUGUUGGUGGGGUAGUGGCUUACCAAGGCUUUGACGGGUAGCCGGCCUGAGAGGGUGACCGGCCACAUUGGGACUGGGAUACGGCCCAGACUCCUACGGGAGGCAGCAGUGGGGAAUAUUGCACAAUGGGCGGAAGCCUGAUGCAGCAACGCCGCGUGCGGGAUGACGGCCUUCGGGUUGUAAACCGCUUUCGCCUGUGACGAAGCGUGAGUGACGGUAAUGGGUAAAGAAGCACCGGCUAACUACGUG
rnacentral:rRNA from 1 species